rnacentral:rRNA from 1 species
UACGAAGGGGACUAGCGUUGUUCGGAAUCACUGGGCGUAAAGCGCACGUAGGCGGAUUUAUAAGUCAGGGGUGAAAUCCCGGGGCUCAACCUCGGAACUGCCUUUGAUACUGUAAGUCUUGAGUUCGAUAGAGGUGGGUGGAAUUCCUAGUGUAGAGGUGAAAUUCGUAGAUAUUAGGAAGAACACCGGUGGCGAAGGCGGCCCACUGGAUCGACACUGACGCUGAGGUUCGAAAGCGUGGGGAGCAAACAGG